rnacentral:rRNA from 1 species
UGGUCUUGGGACACUGUCAGGUGGGCAGUUUGACUGGGGCGGUCGCCUCCCAAAAGGUAACGGAGGCGCUCAAAGGUUCUCUCAGUACGGUCGGAAAUCGUACGUAGAGUGUAAAGGCAAAAGAGAGCUUGAUUGCAAGACAUACAGGUCGAGCAAGGAUGAAAAUCGGACUUAGUGAUCCGGUGGUUCUGCGUGGAAGGGCCAUCGCUCAACGGAUAAAAGCUACCCUGGGGAUAACAGGCUUAUCUCCCCCAAGAGUCCACAUCGACGGGGAGGUUUGGCACCUCGAUGUCGGCUCAUCACAUCCUGGGGCUGUAGUAGGUCCCAAGGGUUGGGCUGUUCGCCCAUUAAAGUGGUACGCGAGCUGGGUUCAGAACGUCGUGAGACAGUUCGGUCCCUAUCCGUCGCAGGCGUAGGAAAUUUGAGAAGACCUGUCCUUAGUACGAGAGGACCGGGAUGGACGUACCUCUGGUGUACCAGUUGUUCUGCCAAGGGCAUGGCUGGGUAGCUAUGUACGGAAUGGAUAAGCGCUGAAAGCAUCUAAGCGCGAAGCCAACUUCAAGAUAAGAUUUCCCACCGCAAGGGUAAGACUCCAGAAAGACUAUCUGGUUGAUAGGUCGAAGGUGUAAGUGCAGCAAUGUAUUUAGCUUAUCGAUACUAAUAGGUCGAGGACUUGACCAAUAUU